GGCACAUUAAUCUUACGUAGUAGAAAUUCCUCGAAGGGAAUUUAUUUUGCUGAGGCCCAUGCUUCGUGAGACGUAACACUUGAUGUUUUUAAAAUAAAAAUCAUUAUUUAACAAUUUAAGUUUUUGCAAAUUUGCAUUAGAAUAAUAAAAAAAUAAGUGAUUUAUUAGGCAAAUAAAUAGAGAAUUUAUAGAGAUUUUGUAAAUAAUUUUUUUCGAAAAUGUAUCCUUGCGUCUGAAAUGGAUCAGAAAAUUUGACCAUCGAUUUAUGCAAUAAAAAAGCAAUUGUCUCCUUUAUGGAAAAUACACAUAUCCGAGCGUUAACAUGAAAAUUAGUAGUGGGAGUAAGAGCUUUUCUUUACUGCUAAUUUUAAGUGGCGCUAUUAUAUGAAACUUAUUUGACGAAAAUUUUGGAAACAUUAUUUACACCAACCAUGAUUCCAAACAUAAUUUUUGAUCAAUUCUGAUAAACAAAAUCCCAAUAUAAAGAUAAAAAUUUAAGUGAGGAUAUAGCUUUCCGAAUUUUCAAAAAAGCUUUAGUGUUUGACAUUAGUUGCCAAUCAAUAUACGAUUUCGUCCAUCCGAUCUGAUUUUAGCAAUUUUCGUGUCUGUGAAUCUUUUGUUGUCUUUCAUUGCCUAUAGUAAUGCUAAAAAAAAUUUUAGUUUUUUCUCUUUCUUGAGUUUUGGUUUGUAUCUAGUUAUAAACUUCUUCAAUAAAAUAAUUUUGUAUUAAUAAUGUAAUUAAUAAGUAAUUGUAUAUAAUUAAUCUAAUAAUAUUAAUAAUAGUAUAAUAAUAGUAUUAAUGUAAAAUAAUUAUUUAAAUAAUCGUAUUAAUAUGAAAUAUAUUCAUCCUUUUUUUUAUAUGAAAAGAAAAUUUGAACAUUAUCUUUCUCAAUUAAAAUUAAAAUCGAUUCUAAAUUGGUAUCGCGAAGUGGUUCAAUUUUACCAUAACUGGACGUCAGCGUUUUUUAUAGAAGUAUGUCAAGUUUCUCAACGUUAUUUCAUAGAUAAGUAUUAAAUUUGCAACUAGUAAAGUGGUAUAGAAUCAGUGAGCCGAAAGAUACUAAUACUGUUAUGUAAUAUAAACAUACUAAAUAAGAGAUGUCUAAUCAGAAGAAAAGGUGGAGAAAAAAAGAAAGAUUAAAAAGCCAAUAAAAAGAAAUAAAAACCAAAAGGUUGAUUCAGAAGAAAAUAAA